rnacentral:snRNA from 1 species
GUGCUCGCUUCGGCAGCACGUACACUAAAAUUGGAACAAUGCAGAGAAGAUUAGCAUGACCCCUAUGCAAGGGUGAUGCACAAAUUUGUGAAGUAUUCCAUAUUAAA